UUUAGGAAUAUAGUUUUAGCUCUUUUCAUUUCAAGUAGUUGUAUACAUCUUCAUUAGUUGUAGUACUAAAUGUAUAUGCUUGGGUUAAGAGUCCAAGCGGUUGGUCCAAUUUUAUUGAAGGGUGGACAGGUUAGUCUAUUCCUGUCCCUUUGUCACCAACUCUCUAGCUUGUCAAUACAAUAGCUUUCAGCUUCCUAGCUGAUUAACAUUAUCUAACUACAGCUUUCCUCCCUAACAUUUGCACACUUUUUAUUCACUCUGCUUAUAACUCUGCACAGACAGGACAUGGACUACAUAUAGUUCAGGAAUGCCAUAAUCCUAUAUGAUGUGGGUUUAUAGACACCCCGGUGUCACCCACAGGGUAUGUAUAAAUCCUUUAUCUUAUCACUCACUUAUAAAUGAAUUUAUAUGUAUAAACUAUGUGUUAUAAUUUAACACAACAUGGUAGCAUUUUAUAUAUAUUCCUAAUCUUAGAGAUAAUAAGUAUAUAUUUAUGACGCCACACGGCUACUAGUAUUCUCCUAACUAUAUGUUGUGUAACUGAUAUAUUCAGUUAUGAUAAGAGACAUUUAAUAUAUGUAUUACUAUUUGAAAGUUCGGUAAAUUGUAUUUAAUAUAAUUUAUCUACAACGAACUAGUGAUGUGUAACUGUAUGCGUUGCAUGUAUGGAUUAAUGUGACUACGCAAACUAGAAAAUAAUUAACAUGCAGCCGUAUGCUAUUCUAUGUACAGUAUAUAAUGUUAUAUAUUUUAUUACAGGGUUGAUUGAUCAAUUGUGAUUGGAAUAAAUGUCACCUCAACAAA